rnacentral:rRNA from 1 species
UACGUAGGGGGCAAGCGUUGUCCGGAUUUAUUGGGCGUAAAGAGCUCGUAGGCGGUUGGGCAAGUCACGUGUGAAAUCUCCACGCUCAACGUGGAGGCGCCACGUGAGACUGCCCUGACUCGAGUCCGGUAGGGGAGCGUGGAAUUCCCGGUGUAGCGGUGAAAUGCGCAGAGAUCGGGAGGAACACCCGUAGCGAAAGCGGCGCGCUGGACCACUACUGACGCUGAGGAACGAAAGCUAGGGGAGCAAACAGG